ACUCGUUCCCAUAGCUGGCCGAAUGGAGCGGACUCUUAAUCCGACAGCGAAAGCUCAUCGUAGGUUCGAAUCCUACCGGGUCCACCA
rnacentral:tRNA from 1 species